AGUCUUAACCGGGCGUUAAGUUGCAGGGUAUAGACCCGAAACCCGGUGAUCUAGCCAUGGGCAGGUUGAAGGUUGGGUAACACUAACUGGAGGACCGAACCGACUAAUGUUGAAAAAUUAGCGGAUGACCUGUGGCUGGGGGUGAAAGGCCAAUCAAACCGGGAGAUAGCUGGUUCUCCCCGAAAGCUAUUUAGGUAGCGCCUCGUGAACUCAUCUCCGGGGGUAGAGCACUGUUUCGGCUAGGGGGCCAUCCCGGCUUACCAACCCGAUGCAAACUGCGAAUACCGGAGAAUGUUAUCACGGGAGACACACGGCGGGUGCUAACGUCCGUCGUGAAGAGGGAAACAACCCAGACCGCCAGCUAAGGUCCCAAAGUCAUGGUUAAGUGGGAAACGAUGUGGGAAGGCCCAGACAGCCAGGAUGUUGGCUUAGAAGCAGCCAUCAUUUAAAGAAAGCGUAAUAGCUCACUGGUCGAGUCGGCCUGCGCGGAAGAUGUAACGGGGCUAAACCAUGCAC
rnacentral:rRNA from 1 species